AACACAUGCAAGUCGAGGGCGAGCGGAAGUUAGCUGCAACUUGCCGGCGACCGGCGCACGGGUGAGUAACGCGUAUCCAACCUUCCCCUUAGUAGGGCAUAGCCCGUAGAAAUGCGGAUUAAUACCCUAUGUUAUUCGUCGAGGACAUCUGAAGUGAAUCAAAGGUUUACCGCUAAGGGAUGGGGAUGCGUCUGAUUAGGCAGCAGGCGGGGUAACGGCCCACCUGGCCGACGAUCGAGUAGGGGUUCUGAGACGGAAGGUCCCCCACAUUGGAACUGAGACACGGUCCAAACUCCUACGGGAGGCAGCAGUGAGGAAUAUUGGUCAAUGGUCGAGAGACUGAACCAGCCAAGUAGCGUGCAGGAUGACGGCCCUAUGGGUUGUAAACUGCUUUUAUGCGGGGAUAAAGUGACGUACGUGUUACGUUUUUGUAGGUACCGCAUGAAUAAGGACCGGCUAAUUCCGUGCCAGCAGCAGC
rnacentral:rRNA from 1 species